GCUUUAUUUUAUAUUUUUAUUAUUUAUCAAAUGUGUUAUGUUUAAACACUGCUCAUAGAUAUGUGCUGGCCAAAGGCAAAUAAUAUUAUUCAUAGCGAUGGGCGGACUGUAAUGCAGAUAUAAACACCUGGUUUGAUGAUGUAAUGAAUUUGAAUAGGUAGAUUAUAAAACACUGUUACAAACAGUAAAUUCUUUCACUCAGUGCACAACGCACAUGAAUAGGGCCAGACUGAUAAUAUGAGUGGAAAUUGGUCUUGAAAUAUGCAGAAAAAUUGGACUGCUAUUAGUCUCAUUCUGACUUGCUGCGUGCUGCUCUAUCUAGUGUUUUGGAUUACUCUCUCAGAACAGUUUCACGGCAAAACUGUCAUCAUUUUAUCACCACUUGGAACUACUAGUUUGUACAAAACAGAAAAACCCAUUUACCCCACUGAGCAAGAAGUCAACAUAACACCUAUUCCGGUCCUCUAUAGGAACAAUUUUACAAAACUUCCAGUGUGGGAUUUCGAAGAUGUUUAUUUGCGAAACAAUGAAGCAAGAAGACCUACCUGUCCAAAGUCCCUUCAAAACAAAGAGGAUCCCAAGUUCAAGGAGGCGACACUUCCUGACAUUCAGCUGUGGCUGUACAAAGGUCUACUCAACAUAACAGAAUGGAAUCGAUUAGCACACUUCAACAAUCCCUUCGGCUUCAUGGAAUACAAGUAC